rnacentral:misc_RNA from 1 species
UCUUCAGAUGAUGAUCCCAAGCCUUCUGGCGUUUGUAAAAGAAAGCCUUUGUUUAGACUUUAAGGAAGUUUUUUCGUUUUAUGAUAUUAUGCCGGGGAAGGUUUUCCGGUUUAUCCCGGAGGGCUUGUAGCUCAGUUGGUUAGAGCGCGCGCUUGAUAAGCGUGAGGUCGGAGGUUCAAGUCCUCCCAGGCCCACCAAUUUAAUUAAGUGCUGUUAAAGUGCUUUUAUGCAUGAAUAUGCGGUUACACGUUUGGAUGAAACGUGACGUUUAUCAAUUACGCUGAAAUGAUUUAAACUCACUUUUAAAUUAGGUUUUUUUUAGUCUUUUAUCCUUUUAGGGGCCGUAGCUCAGCUGGGAGAGCACCUGCUUUGCAAGCAGG